rnacentral:lncRNA from 1 species
GGGGGGGGGGGGGGGGGGGGGGGGGGGGGGGGGGGGGGGGGGGCGAGGGCCCGGCCGUGAGGGAGCGGCCCUCCGCGCUGAGGGUAAACCCUACAUUGUCACGGGAAUUCCCAUGUGCCUAACCUGACCCGCCCCUCAGACGUCUUUCCCUGGCUCAACAGGAACGCAUCAUGCAGAACCAGACUAUUUAGUUGCCUGAUCCCAAGUUGCCAAGGUCCCAGCGCCCAUCCCAUAGACACACGUUAGUAAAACGCGAGAGUCCUGAGAAGGAGACUGAAGUUAAAAGAAGACAGGGCAUAGGACACACUGGUUCCAUGCUGCAAACUGCAGCUCUUCAUUAGUGAUAAUGAGCUGGAGAUAAACCAGCGUGGCUGAGGAACAGGAAACGGACACUUAGCAGAACUGGGGACGAGCCUCCUUGGAUUCUGCACAACGGGGAAGGAGGGAGGGAAGCCCUCGCCACCGGCAGCUGCCCCUUCCCUUCCCUGGCCGUGCACAAAGGGGCAGCCCCGGCUCCCGGCGGCAGGACACGGCCCCUCGCCCUUCUGCCGCCACCACAGAACGGGAGCUCGCCGGCCAUCCGGUGGCCCCGCUGUCCCUCCGCCUGGCGGGCGCUGCCCUGCGGAGGGACAGGGGUCCCGGAGCCUCCCGAGUUCGGGCAGCGAUCUCGGGCAGCCGCCCCCCGUCCCCGGCAGGCACUGACCUGUGCAGCAGGACGCUCUGCACCGAGUCCAGGUCCUCCAGGUUUCUGGUGACGGGCCGCGGGAUGCUGUACCUGCCCGCCCCGAACAUCGCGGGCGGCCGGGGGGGGGGGGGGGGGGGGGGGGGGGGGGGGGGGGGGGGGGGGGGGGGGGGGGGGGGGGGGGGGGGGGGGG